rnacentral:rRNA from 1 species
GAUGAACGCUAGCUACAGGCUUAACACAUGCAAGUCGAGGGGUAACGAGAGGAAAGCUUGCUUUCCUUGUCGACGACCGGCGCACGGGUGAGUAACGCGUAUCCAGCCUGCCCCCAACUAAGGAAUAACCUUGCGAAAGUAAGACUAAUACCUUAUAAUUUCCUCAGAUGUCAUCUGACGAGGAAUAAAGAUUUAUCGGUUGUGGAUGGGGAUGCGUCUGAUUAGCUUGUUGGCGGGGUAACGGCCCACCAAGGCAACGAUCAGUAGGGGUUCUGGGAGGAAGGUCCCCCACAUUGGAACUGAGACACGGUCCAAACUCCUACGGGAGGCAGCAGUGAGGAAUAUUGGUCAAUGGGCGAAAGCCUGAACCAGCCAAGUAGCGUGCAGGAUGACGGCCCUAUGGGUUGUAAACUGCUUUUAUACAGGAAUAAAGUUAGCCACGUGUGGUUAUUUGUAGGUACUGUAUGAAUAAGGACCGGCUAAUUCCGUGCCAGCAGCCGCCGUAA